AAGAUAACACAGCACUCUUGAGAUGACAGCUCAGGUAUGCAGUCUGCCGGCCCAAGCCCCAUGGAACUGUGGGAAGGAACGCAAGUGAUUCUCCUAUUGGACAGGGGCAAGUGCAUGGAAAAGGAUGAUGGUGAGGCUGAAAGCAGGAAAAGAUUUGACCCAUCUCCCAGGUUGGGCCCAGGCCAGAGGUCUCUACCAGCAAAGAGGAUAAAAGAGACUACACCUGGACAAACCCUCCCAGGCCCAGGCCUGAGCCUCACAUGUGGCCCCGGGGAAGGCAUCAGGGACUCCCUUUGCCCUCCCACUGACCUCCCUGCAAACCUCCCCCAAACCAAGGGGCAUCCUCAGCUGGCCAGACCCUGGGGGAAGGGAGAGAGCCGAGGAUCACCGGCACCUGUGGCUGGGUUACCCCUGCCAUGGACCACUGGGUGAUCAAGAAGUCAUUCCAAAAUGUGAAGCGUUCUGAAGAUAUGCACAUAGCGUAAGAACCUGGUGUAAUGUGCUGGUCAAGGCGGUCUCAGAGAGGAGAUGACGUUUGAGCUGACACCUGAGGGAUGAGAAGAAAGCAGCCAUUCCCAGGGCCCAGGGGAGGCAUCCCAGGAAGCCGGAUCAGCAUGAGCAAAAGCCCUGAGGCCUGGCACAAGUUGGUCUGCUUGAGAAGCAGGAGAGAGCCCUGAGCAUCCGGAGUGCAGCAAGCGAGGUGCACAGAGGAGCAGGAAGGGGCUGGGAGAAGGCUGGGGCCGGAUCAUGCAGGACAGGCUGGAGGAAGGGGCUUGAAUUGUCUUCUGACCACUGAGGGGAUAUAAACAUGAGGGCAAAAUCAUCUGAUUUCCAUGUGCAAAGGCCCACUCUGGCUGCUCUAGAGAGAACAGAUGAUUGCAGGGUAAAAGUGGAUUUAGAGAGGUCAGAUGGAGGCUGGGUACGUGCCGUGUAUGGUAGAUAGCAUGCUACCAAAUACACUCACAGGUAGCCCUAUUAUCUCCAUUUCACAGAUGAGCAAGUCAAGAUGCAGAAGGACUCUCUGGCUUGUCCAAGGUCACACGGCUGUUAGGAGCAGAGCAGCGUCCUGGUGCCCAAGCCCUGAGGUCCCCAGCACACUGCCUCUGCAAUGGCCACAACUGUCCAAAGACUAAGCUGACUCUCACACCUGGUAGUGUCUGUGGUCAUUCACUGUGGAUGGAAGUGGAGAAAUGCAGAAAACAGAAACACAGCUUCCCCUUUUCUGUCAUAUUUCUGUAUCGUUGGUGUUUGGAGCCAGUUGAGCACAAAGGGCCCCUGAGUGCUGUUUCCUUGUGAUAUUUGGGGGUUAACAGCUUCCCCUCAUCUCUUAAUUACCUGCCCUCCUUCACUUCAGCUGCACAUUCGUUAAAGAAUGCUCUCCCAGGAGAAGAGCUUGGUGUUAUCACCCACAAACAUCUUAGAAAACUAAUGCUAUCCUUGAGUGCCUGUUUACAGAAACAUUUUUACAUCUCACUUGACAUUUCCAGCAAAUCUUGAUCCUUCCAGCCAGGAAUAUUAAUAUAUAGGUCUUGAAAAGUGCAAGAGGCUCUUCCAUGGCUCCAAGCACAUUUGACACUCUUCCUUUUCUGAUCCCCAAGCAGACAGUGAUGAAACCCCAAUAGCUGGGCGAAUACUCAUCCAACAGGAAGAAUCAGUUUUAAGAGCUGGGUUCUCAGGGUCAAAUACUGUGGUGUGGCCUUUUGGUUGUAAUGAGUUGAAUGGAGGUCUCAAAAAAGAUAUAUCCAUGUUCUAAUCCCCAGAACUUGUGAAUGUGACCUUAUUUGGAAAAAGAGUCCUUUUGGAUGUAAUUAAGUUAAGGAUUUUGAGAUAAGGAGAUCAUCCUGGGUUAUCUGGGUGGACCCUAAAUCUGUUGACAAUGUCCUUAUGAGAGACCCCAGAGGGCACAGACAGGAAAGGAAGAGGCAAUGUGGCCCCAGAGGCUGAGAUCAGAGCUCUGUGGCCACAAUUCGAGGAACACCUGGAGCCACCAGAAGCUGGAGGAGGCAAGGAACAGAUUCUCCCUGAUCCUCUGGAUACAGAGGGAGAAUAGCCUGGCCGACACCUUGAUUUUGGACUUCUGGCCCCCAGAACUGAGAAAAUUAACUUCUGUUGUGUUAAGCAGCCACGUUUGUAGCAGUUCAUCAUAGCAGCCCUGGGAAAGAAAUACAGUGGGCUUCCAGUUCAAGGAGGAUCCACGAGGCCUGAGCUCCAUCUGUCGAUUGGAAUCACCAAAAUCAAGGUUGUGUGCGGGUAACGCCAGCACAAGCAGCUCAUGCUGGCAAAAGCAGACCAAACCGGCUCACGCAACGUCAAGUCAUCUUGAAGUGGUUCACGCACCACAGUGAGUGGUAUUGAUUGUGGUUAAGAGCCAGGUUCAAGGAGGUUUAUCACUCAGUAGCCAGGUAAAGCAGGUUCCAGGCCUGGCUCCACCACUCAACAACCGGGGAAACAGGGGAGCAGACCUGCAGAGGGGCCAGAAGACACCUGGCCGGGUGGGGAGCAGCCCCUCCGUAAUAACAAUCGGAACCUGGGAAGAUAAGUAGAGUCCCAGGGGAGGGACAGAGUUUCCCCUGUGUCACCACAUGGCUACUUUGACACAAAUGCACGUGGGCAGAGAGAGGCAUGCAGGUCAAGGGCCUGGCAGGGAGUCAGGGGCCCUCAGUGCCAGUCCUGGCUCUGCCUCUGCCUCUGACACGCCAUGUGACCUUGAGCAAGUCACCACCCUGUCUGGGCUUCGCUAACCCAUAUACGGAAUGAGAAGGUAUCGUCCCUGGUCACUGCAGGUUUUAAAUCAUGUAGUGAGAGAGAGCUCAUUUGGUCCAACUCUCUGCAACUGAAGGAAUGGAGACACCAAGGGGGAGUAAUCGGCCGCAGUGAUGAGUGGGUGGCAAAGGGAGCUAUCACUACCAUUGAUUAUCCAGCUACUUGUGCUUGAUAAACUCCCUCCUGGUGGAAUGGGCUUUCCCACAUCCAGCAGCACAAAUGCUGUGAGCAUCUACUACGGGCUGGGCACCUUCUCUGGGCUGGCACUUGACAUGGGUUAUCUCAUUUAACUCCCUAACAACCCUAUGUGGUAUUAUCAUCCCCAUUUCACAGGCGGCAAAACUGAAUCCCAGAGAGAAGACUCACUCAGACACAGCUAUCUGAACACUCUUUUCCAGUUCCCCUAGGGCAGCAGAGGAAGCAAGGUGGGGGGAAGCCAGUGGUCAAGGAUUCCAUGCGGAAUGUACCCUAGAAUUAACCCAUGGAGAGAGGGUAAGGGAACGGGCUCAGGCCUGGGAAGAAGUGGGGAGGACAGUGUCCUGUUGACCUAUUCAAAAACAUCCAGUUUUAGUUAAUUUUUAGUUCAUUAGUCACCACUUUUUAUUAGUAUCUCAUGUAUUCUUUCACAGUUUCUUUCUGCAGGUACAAAAAUAAUGAUUUUUUUUCUUUCUUUUUCUUCUUUGAGACAGGGUCUCGCUCUGUUGCCCAGGCUGUAGUACAAUG
rnacentral:lncRNA from 1 species